CUAAGGAGAGGCUCACGUGGCAAGAAAACUGAUGACUCCAGUCCACAGCCAACAUGAACCUGAGGCCUGCCCAGAGACACACAGCAGCUAUAUAGUGAACAGUUACUAAGAACCAACUAACUGCAAAUACUAUUUAGGACUAUACCAUAUAAAAAUACGUGGAAAUCCAAAGACAAAUGGAAUAUCAUUCAGAACAAGAUCACAUCAGAAGUCUGAAAAGCCUUAAAACAAGACUCAGGAAACUGUCACCAUGUGAUAUGGACUCUUCUUAUUGUGCAAAGUCAAACUAAUGAACAAUUUUGGA